rnacentral:misc_RNA from 1 species
CACAAUAAAAUAUGAAGGCCUGGCUUCGCGGCCGGCUGAAAUAUUUUUUCACCCAUGUCUUUUGCGCACUUGUUGUUUCCUGGGCGGGUUCGCCCGCCACCUGGACCAAACCAUAAACCUUUUUCUUAUGCAGUUUCCAUCAGCGUCAGUAAAAACAAUGUAAUAAUUA